UUACGGCCAUAUCAUGUUGAAACACCGGUUCUCGUGCGAUCACCGAAGUUAAGCAAAGUCGAGUCUGAUCAGUAACUAGAUAGGUAACCGCUUGGAAACUCCAGGUGCUGCAAG